rnacentral:lncRNA from 1 species
AAAAAAGAUAAAUGAAAAUAUAACAACAGCAAAUAAGCAAAUAAAUCAAAUAAAUAAAAACAAAACGAAAAAACAAAAUCUAAGCAAAAUACAACAAAAAACAAACACACAGUGCCCAGUCCCCUUUCUUUGCUUUCAAAGUAAGUAAGUCCCUUAUAGAACUGAAAUUUAAAAAAAAUGAUUUACUAUAGAAAUGAAAGAUUGUUUGAGAUGUGUUGUAUUAACUUCGAUAUUUUUUUGGUAGGGGUGUGCCAUUUUUGCCUCAAAAAACGUACCCAUUUUAAUAUAACAUUCACUGAAAUUCAG